GAUGAACGCUGGCGGCGUGCCUAAUACAUGCAAGUUGAGCGCUGAAGGUUGGUACUUGUACCAACUGGAUGAGCAGCGAACGGGUGAGUAACGCGUGGGGAAUCUGCCUUUGAGCGGGGGACAACAUUUGGAAACGAAUGCUAAUACCGCAUAAAAACUUUAAACACAAGUUUUAAGUUUGAAAGAUGCAAUUGCUUCACUCAAAGAUGAUCCCGCGUUGUAUUAGCUAGUUGGUGAGGUAAAGGCUCACCAAGCCGAUGAUACAUAGCCGACCUGAGAGGGUGAUCGGCCGCAGUGGGACUGGGACACGGCCCAAACUCCUACGGGAGGCAGCAGUAGGGAAUCUUCGGCAAUGGACGAAAGUCUGUCCGAGCAACGCCGCGUGAGUGAAGAAGGGUAUCGGAUCGUAAAACUCUGUUGGUAGAGAAGAACGUUGGGGAGAGUGGAAAGCUCAUCAAGUGACGGUAACUACCCAGAAAGGGACGGCUAACUACGUG
rnacentral:rRNA from 1 species